rnacentral:rRNA from 1 species
GCGUGGGUGAAGAAGGUCUUCGGAUUGUAAAGCCCUUUCGGCGGGGACGAUGGUGACGGUACCCGCAGAAGAAGCCCCGGCUAACUUCGUGCCAGCAGCCGCGGUAAUACGAAGGGGGCUAGCGUUGCUCGGAAUUACUGGGCGUAAAGGGCGCGUAGGCGGCUGUAUCAGUCAGGCGUGAAAUUCCUGGGCUCAACCUGGGGGCUGCGCUUGAUACGGUAUGGCUAGAGGACGGAAGAGGCUCGCGGAAUUCCCAGUGUAGAGGUGAAAUUCGU